AUGAGUGCCUUCUACUGGAACUGUCGUGAUGCGGGUAAAGCCGCGACAGUCCGUGAACUUCGCGGUUUCGUGAGGAAAUUUACCCCUACACUACUAUGUAUAGUUGAAAUGCAAAUUGAAGGUGCUAGGGUAGAAGCUUUAGCUAGUUAUAUUGGCUUUGAUAAGUCUUAUGCAGUUGAUAGUCAAGGUAGGAGCGGAGGCAUUGGUCUCUUUUGGAACAACUCAAUAAAAGUUCAAUCUUGGUUACUCAGUUUACCACCUAGAUGUCUCAAUUGA
rnacentral:rRNA from 1 species